rnacentral:rRNA from 1 species
AGUGAACGCUGGCGGUAGGCCUAACACAUGCAAGUCGAACGGCAGCACAGUAAGAGCUUGCUCUUACGGGUGGCGAGUGGCGGACGGGUGAGGAAUACAUCGGAAUCUACUUUUUCGUGGGGGAUAACGUAGGGAAACUUACGCUAAUACCGCAUACGACCUACGGGUGAAAGCAGGGGAUCUUCGGACCUUGCGCGAUUGAUUGAGCCGAUGUCGGAUUGGCUAGUUGGCGGGGUAAAGGCCCACCAAGGCGACGAUCCGUAGCUGGUCUGAGAGGAUGAUCGGCCACACUGGAACUGAGACACGGUCCAGACUCCUACGGGAGGCAGCAGUGGGGAAUAUUGGACAAUGGGCGAAAGCCUGAUGCAGCCAUACCGCGUGGGUGAAGAAGGCCUUCGGGUUGUAAAGCCCUUUUGUUGGGAAAGAAAAGCAGCAGGUUAAUACCCCGCUGUUCUGACGGUACCCAAAGAAUAAGCACCGGCUAACUUCGUG